CUUAACAAAGAGAAGGUUAAGGGGUGAUUUGAUGACAGUCUAUAGGUAUCUACAUGGGGAACAAAUAUUUAAUACCGGGCUCUCCAGACAUUGCAGAGAAAGGAAGCCAAACAAAAAAUGGUUUGGUGAGCACAUGAAUUGUUCUGAAGAGCAACAGCAGCCGUCCCGUAACUACCCUGCUUCAUGCUGACACACAAAGCAACUGCUUUCUUGUUAAGUAAAAACAAGUCAACAUUCACAGCAAAACCAUGAAAGAAAAACCACAAGUGACCUAACACUUCUGAGUCAUCCCCCCGCCUGGAGCUUCUUGAAAGAAUAAACAGACCUGAUUGGAACCCUCUG